UAGUGAGUUUGAUCCUGGCUCAGGACGAACGCUGGCGGCGUGCUUAACACAUGCAAGUCGAGCGGAAAGGCCACUUCGGUGGUACUCGAGCGGCGAAUGGGUGAGUAACACGUGAGUAAUCUGCCCCUGGCUUCGGGAUAGCCACCGGAAACGGUGAUUAAUACCGGAUAUGACCACUUGUCGCAUGAUGUGUGGUGGAAAGUUUUUCGGUGGAGGAUGUGCUCGCGGCCUAUCAGCUUGUUGGUGGGGUAAAGGCUCACCAAGGCAUCGAUCAGUAGCUGGUCUGAGAGGACGAUCAGCCAC
rnacentral:rRNA from 1 species